ACCCUCUCAGAGUCACACUUGGAGAAUUUCCAGUAUUCUACCAGUCUAGACAACGGGAGGGAGAGUUAAGCAGAAGCAUGUCCAUUCCAUUCCUAACUUGGGCAGUGGUUAGUGAGUGGAAGGCAACAUGCUACAAGU